rnacentral:misc_RNA from 1 species
AACGCACAUUGCACCCCCUGGUAUUCCGGGGGGUAUGCCUGUCCGAGCGUCAUUGCAACCUUCAAGCGCGGCUUGUGCAUUGGGCGUCGUCCCCCGUGGACGUGCCCGAAAGGCAGUGGCGGUGCCUGAAAUGGUGCCUGAGCGUAUGGGGAUCUUCUCCGCUCGACGAGGCCCGUUCGGCGCCGGUCGUAACCAAUCUUUUCACCGGUUGACCUCGGAUCAGGUAGGGAUACCCGCUGAACUUAA